rnacentral:rRNA from 1 species
AUUGAACGCUGGCGGCAGGCCUAACACAUGCAAGUCGAACGGUAACAGGAAGAAGCUUUCUUCUUUGCUGACGAGUGGCGGACGGGUGAGUAAUGUCUGGGAAACUGCCUGAUGGAGGGGGAUAACUACUGGAAACGGUAGCUAAUACCGCAUAAUGUCGCAAGACCAAGAGGGGGACCUUCGGGCCUCUUGCCAUCUGAUGUGCCCAGAUGGGAUUAGCUAGUAGGUGGGGUAACGGCUCACCUAGGCGACGAUCCCUAGCUGGUCUGAGAGGAUGACCAGCCACACUGGAACUGAGACACGGUCCAGACUCCUACGGGAGGCAGCAGUGGGGAAUAUUGCACAAUGGGCGCAAGCCUGAUGCAGCUAUGCCGCGUGUAUGAAGAAGGCCUUCGGGUUGUAAAGUACUUUCAGCGGGGAGGAAGGGAGUAAAGUUAAUACCUUUGCUCAUUGACGUUACCCGAAGAAGAAGCACCGGCUAACUCCGUG